rnacentral:pre_miRNA from 1 species
UUUAUACUCCCUCUGAUCCAUAUUAACUGUCGAAAUAUUAUAUGUAUCUAGACGUUUUUUAGGCAUAGAUACAUCCAUAUUUAGGCAAAUUUGAGACAAUUAAUAUGGAUCGGAGGGAGUAUUUC